GAACGCUGGCGGCGUGCUUAACACAUGCAAGUCGAACGAUGAAGUCUAGCUUGCUAGAUGGAUUAGUGGCGCACGGGUGAGUAAUGCAUAGGUAACGUGCCCCUUAGUCUGGGAUAGCCACUGGAAACGGUGAUUAAUACUAGAUACGCCUUCUCUCUUGAUGAGAGUUGGGAAAGUUUUUCGCUAAGGGAUCGGCCUAUGUUGUAUCAGGUAGUUGGUGAGGUAAUGGCUCACCAAGCCUAUGACACAUAGCGGGUCUGAGAGGAUGAUCCGCCACACUGGUACUGAGACACGGACCAGACUCCUACGGGAGGCAGCAGUGGGGAAUAUUGCACAAUGGACGAAAGUCUGAUGCAGCAACGCCGCGUGGAGGAUGACACAUUUACGGUAGCGUAAACUUCCUUUUAUAUGAGAAGA
rnacentral:rRNA from 1 species